rnacentral:lncRNA from 1 species
AGUCACCCAAGAUUCCCUCUUCAGGUCACAGAUCCUGGUCUCAGCAGCAAUUCUGUAGUUUUUGGCCAGAGCAGGGGUGAAGCCAAGGGACCAAGCAGUUCCAGCCUUCUGAGUAGCUGAGAUUGCAGGCUCAACCCACUUUACGUACGAAGUAACGGAAGAGUGGAGAAGUGAGGCAGCUCACCAUCUGCACUGGCUGGUGAGUGGCGGGCCCAGAAUCCACGUCCAGGCUCAAGUCCAGAGAAUCACUCUCCCACCGUCUCCUUGGAAAGUGGGCUGCCGAGAGCACCUGCUGAACCCUGGAAGGUGGGCCUGGGCCAGGGAGCUUUGGCACCUCCCCCCAGACACAAAGGGGACAUUUGCUUGCUGCCCUCAGGAGUGCUGCUUUGGUCCUACAGGAGCUGAGCUGAGUGACAUGCCCUGUCCCGCCCCACAGGCUUGCUCCGUGCCUCUGGCUUCCCCGUGCUCCUGUGCUGAGCCAUCUUUGUGUGUCGCCAGGCUGGAGCACCCUCUCCGUGUGUUUGUCUUCAAUUCUUCUGAGAGGAAGAACCAGGUUGUGCCUAUGGGUCAGGUGAUCGGGGGUGAGGGGCAGCACAGUCCUAACCUGUAGCUUUUAUCAAAGGAAAGCCCCGGAAUGUGCUGGGGAUGUUGUUGGACCUUGGAAGCUUCUCUGAGGGUCCAGGGAAUUGGCAGGGACCUCGCAGAGCCUGGGCAAGCAUAGCCUACGGAACCCAGAUGCUCAGGGCUGUGGACACCAUGGAGGAAUAAGACCUGCCCUCUGUCCUUGAGCUCCCCACCAUUAGAGGGAGAGACUGACCCACAAGCAAGAUUUGUUACCUACCCAGGAUACCAUGUGGCCCCCGUGCAGUGGGCAGCAGAGGGGAUCUCAUUAUUCCUGCCUGAGGAACUGUAGGGAGGGCGGGUCUGGGACAGUCACUUGAGCUGAUAUUAGGUGGUAAGGAGGUAACUAUCUAGGGGAUGGAGGUGGCCUUUCACUACUAAUGAUGGACCUCCUCCACAUUGGCAUUCUCCAUCUCUUAGCGUAAGACCUUCCUAUGCACUGGCAGCCCAAUACAUUGACAUGUGUCUAGGAAGAGACCUGUGGCAUCGACUUGGCCCCUGGUCCUUAAACUUGAGCCUGGAAGAUGUGGUGAAGUAGGCUGCCAUGCCCACCCCUGAGCUCUGGCCGAGAUCUCUGAUAGGGUCUGAGGAUCUGUACUUCCAACACAUCCUCAGAAUUGUUGCUGCCCAUGGUUGAGGGAUCAUGCCAUGAGGAUACUGCUCUGCCCAAGCCUCUCAUUUUGUUUAGAAAGAAAUGGAGACUGGAGCAGCUCCUCCCAAUCGCCCAGGAGCAGGAGCAGAGAAAUGGCCAGACCUGCCUCCAGACUCCUCUCUACUCAGCCCUUGCCCACAGUCCGGUGUCAGCCUGCCACCUCUGGGACCAAAUGCCCCAGGGCUGCUGUUCAGAGAACAGCCCUGUAUGAGGGCCUUGAGAGGCCAGCAUGACCUUGAGCAGCAGCGAGUCCCCCGCUGGCCUGGGAGGGGAAUACUGUCCCGUGGCUGCCUGGCCCAUCUGCCAGGCCAACCGCUUGCCACUAGGUGUGCUGCCAGCCCAGCUUCCCCAGUGACCCAGUGUGGUCUGGCACCCAGCCAGAAAGGGCAGCAGGGCCAGCCAGGAGCGGGAGGCUUUGGCAGAAUGGCAGUGAAGAGCAUCCACUGGGUCACUUCGUGUUCCCUGCAGGGGGAUGAGCAGGAGUCUGUCCAGAUACCUGAGGUGUGCCAGGUCUCCACUCCAGCUGACAGACAUUUGGGGGGACUAUCUCCAAGUGCCACAGUCUUGGGAAGGGAAGACCUUAAGCUGGCCAUCCUCCUGACCCAGCGCAAAAAUGAUUUUAACCGUUUGAAGGAAAUUUCAGGCCCCAUGCAGUCCAGUCCCCAGAUCAGAGCUUCCCCAGGCAGGCUGUUCCUCCCGCCAGGGACUUCCCUAGGACCGGGGGGACUCCUGGUCACUGGAUGUGCUCCUCACAGGUGUCCCUAUGUGGGGAUCUCUUCUAUUGCUCAAUUCAUAACCAUGACCAUUUCCCACUGUCUGUCUGUGUCUCACUCUGGGAACUCUGACUCCAAAGCGUGUAGAGAUCAAGUUCAGACCAGGCCUGGUGCAGACUGGGCUGGCUCCUCACCAAGACACUGGCGACCUUUUAGCCAGCAUGAGCUUAGAAAAGGCUUCCUGCCAUGACUGGUCUGGACCUCCUGCCUGGACACCUUCCAUCAGGUGGGUCACUGUGGGCCACCCACCAGCAGCCUGGGGAGCUGAGAGAGGUGGGGAAGGGUGGGGAGGUCCAGGUCGAUGGCUCUGCGCUCACGGUCUGCGAGUUGUUGGCAUUGCCUUUCCCACCCUCCCUGCCAUGCUUCCCCACUGCCCUGCAGGAACUUGAAGAGCUGGAGCCCUGGCCCCCCUGCGAGGAUGAUGGCUUUCCAGUGGCAACAUCAUGGAGACUUGUCCAAGAAGGAAGGAGCACCCACUGACUGCAUGCUUGACCCCCCAGCAGUUAAGGGCAGCAGUGGCCUGGGGCUGGCUGGUUUGCCUUGUCCUGGGCAUCCACGUGCAGGCUGCUCUUUAGCAAGCAAGUUCCUGCUAAAGCUCGGCGUGAUGCCACCACCAGCCCAGGCACAGGGAAGAGAUAGAUCUUGGGCAGUUGCAUAACUGCCCUGAGGUUUCCUCAUCUGUUAAGUGGGGAUGGUAAACUGUCUAUUUACAGGAGUGUCGUGGGGAUUAAGGAGAUGGUGCUUAUAUAAAUACUUGGCCAAGGAGCCUGAUAACUACUCCAAAAGUGUCUAAAAAGAAGCUGCCCUGUGAUAGGGAAGCUCACCAGCAAACUAAGGAGCACCAGGAGAGAUCAGAGAGGAGUCAGCCCUCCACAGCCCUGGGUUCUGCAACCACUACUGACUGAAAAUGCACACAGAAAAUUAGGUCUGCAACGUUGUCGGUAUUCCCCAAACAAUGCCGUACAGUAACUAUUGACACAGCAUUUACAUCACAUUAGGCAUGGUGGGCUAUCUAGAGAUGAUAUAAAGUGUGAGAGAAGAUAUAUGUAGAUUAUAUGCAAAUGCUCCAUUUUAUAUAGGCACUUGUGGUACUCUGGGUUUGGGUACCCUUGGGGUCCUGGAAACAGUCCCCUUCCAAUGAGCUAACAAAGCCACUCAGAGGGGGAGGUCAGUGAAGGUCUUGAAGAGGAGAUCAAGAAAAUGCAGGCAAAUAAGAAAAUGGAGCGUAAGGAACAUGUCUGGGCUGCAGAAUUUCAAUGACAUUGAGAGAUGGCCCUUCCAGGGAGUGGAGCUGACCUCCUCUGCCCCUGAGCGCGCGCUUAGAGCCACAGAGUGGAGGGGAGAAAUCGGUGGUGGAGAAAGCUUGCAGACAUCAUUUUACCCAAGGGACGGGGUAAACUGACUCAGCAGUGAUAACCUGUGCAGACAUUGUACAGGCUCUGAUCUGGGGAGACAGAAGCCCCUCACCUUCCUGUUACUCUUACCAAAAAGGCAGAAUUGCAGUCUGAUCAUGAGAGAACAUCAGAAAAAUCCAUGCUGAGGACACUCUACAAAAUGCCUCAGCAGGACCUUUCCAAGGGGUUGAGGUCAUGGUCAUGGAAAACUAGGAGGGACCGAGGAAGCCUCUUGGGUGAGAGGAGGCCCUAUGGGUGGACACAUAACAGGUCCUGGGCUGACCCUGGAAAUGGAAAGUGCACUGGUGGGAUGCUGGUGGAGGCUGGGUAAAGCCUGUGGCUUGGUUGGUAGUCUUGUACAAUGUUCACUACUUAGUUUGACAAAUGUGCAUGAUUAUGAAAGAUGCUAACUGCGGGGAACCUGGGUGAAGGGUACAUGGGACUCUAUUUUUGCAGCUUCU